rnacentral:rRNA from 1 species
ACUUGAAUUGAAGAGUUUGAUCAUGGCUCAGAUUGAACGCUGGCGGCAGGCUUAACACAUGCAAGUCGAACGGUAGCAGGAGAAAGCUUGCUUUCUUGCUGACGAGUGGCGGACGGGUGAGUAAUGCUUGGGAAUCUGGCUUAUGGAGGGGGAUAACGACGGGAAACUGUCGCUAAUACCGCGUAUUAUCGGAAGGUGAAAGUGCGGGACUGAGAGGCCGCAUGCCCUAGGAUGGGCCCCAGUGGGAGUCGGGAGUUGGGGGGGGAAAUGCCUACCAAGCCUGCGCUCUCUAG